CAACCCAAUCCAUGAUGAGUAUCACUUUUAACUCUGAUAACUCUUAUUAAAAUCACAUUCAAUGGUUGAUGAAAUAAAAGACUAUCCACAUACUAUCUUUGUUUUCCUUUCUGCUCUCUUAAAACUCAUCUUUCACUUAGAUGUGAUAUCUCUCUCUCUCUCUCUCUCUCUCUCUCUCUCUCUGUCUCUCUCUCUCUCUCUCUCUCUCUCUCUCUCUCUCUCUCUCUCUCUCUCUCUCUCUCUGAAUGCAUUAAAGUAGUUUCAGUAUUAAGCUAUUGUGUACUGUGAUGAUACUCUAAUCCACUCAUCAUUUUCACUGCAAUUCUUUGUGAAAUUUUAUUCAGGUUCACUUCAAUUACGGUUGGAACCUUAAUACAAGCUCCCUAGAUCUUGUGUAUUUGUUAUAUUUCCAAUAACCUAUGUAGAAGACUUAAUUGGAUAUGAAUCGAUAGUGGUUAUUUUUUAUUUGGAUUGUAUUUUGAACGUAGAACAGUAGGUUGUAAAUUGACGAACAAUUUAAAUCUAUAAAAAAUUAUUUUUGUUGAGUGAAACCAGGAAUAAAUAUGCUACCAUAUAAU